rnacentral:rRNA from 1 species
GACGAACGCUGGCGGCGUGCUUAACACAUGCAAGUCGAGCGGUAAGGCCCUUCGGGGUACACGAGCGGCGAACGGGUGAGUAACACGUGGGUGACCUGCCCUCCACUUCGGGAUAAGCCUGGGAAACCGGGUCUAAUACCGGAUAGGACCACCGCAUGCAUGUGCGGUGGUGGAAAGUUUUUCGGUGGAGGAUGGGCCCGCGGUCUAUCAGCUUGUUGGUGGGGUGAUGGCCUACUAAGGCGACGACGGAUAGCCGGCCUGAGAGGGUGAUCGGCCACACUGGGACUGAGACACGGCCCAGACUCCUACGGGAGGCAGCAGUGGGGAAUCUUGCGCAAUGGGCGAAAGCCUGACGCAGCAACGCCGCGUGGGGGAUGACGGCCUUCGGGUUGUAAACCUCUUUCGCGAUCGACGAAGCUCGCACUUCUGGUACGGGUGACGGUAGGUCGAGAAGAAGCACCGGCCAACUACGUGCCAGCCGCCGCGGUAA